rnacentral:rRNA from 1 species
CCACCACUAAGCCAGUGGUGAACUCCACAUACGCAUCCUUUGCUGAGGAUACGGUUAACGGAGCGAAAGCGACGUUCAACCUCAAAAGAAGCAGAGGGGGCUUAGUGGUGGGGUGACUGCGUACCUUUUGUAUAAUGGGUCAGCGACUUAUAUUCUGUAGCAAGGUUAACCGAAUAGGGGAGCCGGAGGGAAACCGAGUCUUAACCGGGCGUUAAGUUGCAGGGUAUAGACCCGAAACCCGGUGAUCUAGCCAUGGGCAGGUUGAAGGUUGGGUAACACUAACUGGAGGACCGAACCGACUAAUGUUGAAAAAUUAGCGGAUGACCUGUGGCUGGGGGUGAAAGGCCAAUCAAACCGGGAGAUAGCUGGUUCUCCCCGAAAGCUAUUUAGGUAGCGCCUCGUGAAUUCAUCUCCGGGGGUAGAGCACUGUUUCGGCUAGGGGGUCAUCCCGACUUACCAACCCGAUGCAAACUGCGAAUACCGGAGAAUGUUAUCACGGGAGACACACGGCGGGUGCUAACGUCCGUCGUGAAGAGGGAAACAACCCAGACCGCCAGCUAAGGUCCCAAAGUCAUGGUUAAGUGGGAAACGAUGUGGGAAGGCCCAGACAGCCAGGAUGUUGGCUUAGAAGCAGCCAUCAUUUAAAGAAAGCGUAAUAGCUCACUGGUCGAGUCGGCCUGCGCGGAAGAUGUAACGGGGCUAAACCAUGCACCGAAGCUGCGGCAGCGACACUAUGUGUUGUUGGGUAGGGGAGCGUUCUGUAAGCCUGCGAAGGUGUCUCGUGAGGGAUGCUGGAGGUAUCAGAAGUGCGAAUGCUGACAUAAGUAACGAUAAUGCGGGUGAAAAACCCGCACGCCGGAAGACCAAGGGUUCCUGUCCAACGUUAAUCGGGGCAGGGUGAGUCGACCCCUAAGGCGAGGCCGAAAGGCGUAGUCGAUGGGAAACAGGUUAAUAUUCCUGUACUUGGUGUUACUGCGAAGGGGGGACGGAGAAGGCUAUGUUGGCCGGGCGACGGUUGUCCCGGUUUAAGCGUGUAGGUGUGUGUUCCAGGUAAAUCCGGUUCACUUUAACACUGAGGCGUGAUGACGAGGCACUACGGUGCUGAAGCAACAAAUGCCCUGCUUCCAGGAAAAGCCUCUAAGCAUCAGGUAACAUCAAAUCGUACCCCAAACCGACACAGGUGGUCAGGUAGAGAAUACCAAGGCGCUUGAGAGAACUCGGGUGAAGGAACUAGGCAAAAUGGUGCCGUAACUUCGGGAGAAGGCACGCUGAUAUGUAGGUGAAGUGGUUUACCCAUGGAGCUGAAAUCAGUCGAAGAUACCAGCUGGCUGCAACUGUUUAUUAA